GGAGAUCAGCGUAAACCCCAGCGCUUUUGCUAAUUCCCAGUGGAGCACAGACACCUGGAAGAAAGACAUAAUUUUUAGCACCUACAUAUUUCCAAUGGCAAGAGCAGGAGAGAAAGACAAUCAUUGAGACCAAGAGGAGGAAAAGAUUAAUAAGUGCUGCCGUCACUGCAGGAAAAAUAAUUUUUCAAAACAACAACAGUAAAAAGUGCCUCUAGGAUAGUUACGCUCUGUUCUCCUUUCUUCUACUAAAAAGGAAAAACACAGCAAAACAGAGAAGCAAAAGAGGACUGG
rnacentral:lncRNA from 1 species